AAAAAGUGAAAAAUAUGGUUUUUGAUCCGAAACGAGACCAAACUGGUCAAAAUUGUCUGGUCUGAUUUCAAUUUGCUUCAAGCGGUUUUAGUCAAAUCCGGCCUUUAUAUGUUCGAUGAGGGUUUGAAUUUUGGACAUAUAGCCUCGGUAUCUAACAAGUUAGGCUUCCUGCUUAUUGUUAAACUAAUGCCAAGGGUAGGGCCACACAAUCAUGGUAGCCUGGGUUAGCCAAUUUCCCUUAUGUUGUUUGCAAUGAUGCCAAUGCUAGUAUAUCAUUAGGUUUAUGCCAU
rnacentral:misc_RNA from 1 species